rnacentral:rRNA from 1 species
CUCCAGACUCCUACGGGAGGCAGCAGUGGGGAAUAUUGCACAAUGGGGGAAACCCUGAUGCAGCGACGCCGCGUGAGCGAUGAAGUAUUUCGGUAUGUAAAGCUCUAUCAGCAGGGAAGAAAAUGACGGUACCUGACUAAGAAGCCCCGGCUAACUACGUGCCAGCAGCCGCGGUAAUACGUAGGGGGCAAGCGUUAUCCGGAUUUACUGGGUGUAAAGGGAGCGUAGACGGCGAUGCAAGCCAGAUGUGAAAGCCCGGGGCUCAACCCCGGGACUGCAUUUGGAACUGUAUAGCUGGAGUGUCGGAGAGGCAGGCGGAAUUCCUAGUGUAGCGGUGAAAUGCGUAGAUAUUAGGAGGAACACCAGUGGCGAAGGCGGCCUGCUGGACGAUGACUGACGUUGAGGCUCGAAAGCGUGGGGAGCAAACAGGAUUAGAUACCCCGGUAAUA